rnacentral:rRNA from 1 species
AUUUCUUCGGAAUGAAGUUUUUGUGACUGAGUGGCGGACGGGUGAGUAACGCGUGGGUAACCUGCCUUGUACUGGGGGACAACAGUUGGAAACGACUGCUAAUACCGCAUAAGCGCACGGUGCUGCAUGGCACAGUGUGAAAAACUCCGGUGGUAUGAGAUGGACCCGCGUCUGAUUAGCUAGUUGGUGGGGUAACGGCUCACCAAGGCGACGAUCAGUAGCCGACCUGAGAGGGUGAUCGGCCACAUUGGAACUGAGACACGGUCCAAACUCC